GUAACAGCCGCCGAGUUAAACGUAUACCCAGGGAGUUGAGUAAUUUCACGAAAACUGCCACCGCUGCGAUCACUGUCGGAAAAGAAGGAUGUUCAGUCUGCUAUCCGUUAGCAACCCGUAUAUGAGGAUGACACGAGUAUCAAGAGUAAAGCAAAGAGGAACGAGAGAAUGAACGAGUGAGAAGAGAGGUCCCUUGGUCUCAACAGGGAGGUUUGAGGACACAAAUCGAAAACGAGGAUUGCACCCCGGGGCGACGUACCCCAUGACGAGUCCUUUGCUUCGUUGGCUCCAACGUUGCAACAUAAAAAGAAAGAAA
rnacentral:lncRNA from 1 species